CCUACGGGUGGCUGCAGUGAGGAAUAUUGGUCAAUGGCCGGAAGGCUGAACCAGCCAAGUCGCGUGAGGGAAUAAGGCCCUAUGGGUCGUAAACCUCUUUUGUCAGGGAGCAAAGGCGUCCACGAGUGGACGAAAGGAGAGUACCUGAAGAAAAAGCAUCGGCUAACUCCGUGCCAGCAGCCGCGGUAAUACGGAGGAUGCGAGCGUUAUCCGGAUUUAUUGGGUUUAAAGGGUGCGCAGGCGGUCUGUUAAGUCAGCGGUCAAAGCCCGGGGCUCAACCCCGGCCCGCCGUUGAAACUGGCAGUCUCGAGUUGGAGAGAAGUAUGCGGAAUGCGCGGUGUAGCGGUGAAAUGCAUAGAUAUCGCGCAGAACUCCGAUUGCGAAGGCAGCAUGCCGGCUCCACACUGACGCUGAGGCACGAAAGCGUGGGUAUCGAACAGGAUUAGAUACCCCUGUAGUC
rnacentral:rRNA from 1 species